GAUCUCUAGUUAAAGCCAUUGGUGGAUGCCUUGGCGUCAUAUGGCGAUGAAGGACGCAGCAAGCUGCGAUAAGCCUCGGGGAGCGGCAAACACGCUUUGAUCCGGGGAUUUCCGAAUGGGGAAACCCAAUGCCGGUAAUGCGGCAUUACUUCCAGCUGAAUAUAUAGGCUGGAUAGAGCGACACGCGGUGAAGUGAAACAUCUCAGUAACCGCAGGAAAAGAAAGAGAAUCGAUUCCGUAAGUAGCGGCGAGCGAAAGCGGAACAGCCCAAACCAAGAGGAUUUAUCCUCUCGGGGUUGUAGGACUAUAAUGUGAGGAGCAACGGAUAGACAAACACUCUGGAAAGGGUGACCAUAGAGGGUGACAGUCCCGUAGUUGAAAUCCCGCGCCGAUCUAAUAGUAUCCUGAGUAGCACCGGACACGUGAAACCCGGUGUGAAUCUGCGCCGACCACGGCGUAAGGCUAAAUACAAGAUGACGACCGACAGUGAACUAGUACCGCGAGGGAAAGGUGAAAAGCACCCCUGUUAGGGGAGUGAAAUAGUAACUGAAACCGAUGGCUAACAAAUCAGUAGGAGCCGCCUUGUGCGGUGACUGCCUGCCUUUUGUAUAAUGAGUCUGCGAGUUUAUGUCCGUAGCAAGCCUAAGCUGCUAAGCAGUGGAGGCGUAGCGAAAGCGAGUCUGAAUAGGGCGAUUGAGUUGCUGGCAUAAGACCCGAAGGGGAGGUGAUCUUACCAUGACCAGGUUGAAGCGUUAGUAAAAUAACGUGGAGGACCGAACCGGUGUAGCUUGAGAACUGCUCGGAUGAGUUGUGGUAAGGAGUGAAAGGCUAAUCAAACCCCCUGAUAGCUGGUUCUUUCCGAAAUAUAUUGAGGUAUAGCGUCGAGCGCUGACCUGUGGAGGUAGAGCACUGAAUAAGCUAGGGCCCCUACCGGGGUACUGAACUUUAUCAAACUCCGAAUGCCACAGGGUGAAGCUCGGCAGUCAGACUUAGGGUGCUAACGUCCUAAGUCGAGAGGGCAACAACCCAGACCAUCAGUUAAGGUCCCUAAAUGUGGCUCAGUGGUAAAGGAUGUGAUUUUACUUAGACAAUGGGGAUGUUGGCUUAGAGGCAGCCAUCAUUUAAACAGUGCGUAACAGCUGACCCAUCGAGUGAAAUUGCGCCGAAAAUGAUCGGGACUUAAGCCACAUACCGAAGCUAUGGAUUUCAGUUCUUCGGAACUGGAGUAGUAGGAAAGCGUUCCAAGUGCAGCGAAGGAGAAGGGGCAACCGACUCUGGAGCGCUUGGAAGUGAGAAUGCAGACAUGAGUAACGAUAAAGAUGGUUAAAGUCCAUCUCGCCGUAAGGAUAAGGUUUCCUGGGGAAGGCUCGUCCUCCCAGGGUUAGUCGGGAGCUAAGAUGAGGCCGUAAGGAGUAAUCGAUGCACAGAAGGUUAAUAUUCCUUCACCGGCUUGCAACUAUUCCCAGAGUGCGGAUCGACGGACCCUACAGACCUGUUUUGACAAGGCACUGCAAAGCUACGGCUGCGUGGGUGUAGGGAAAGAAGGUUCCAAGAAAAGCUCUGGAAUUACUAUGCAGGUCGCUCGUACCGCAAACCGACACAGGUAUCCGGGAUGAGUAUUCUAAGGCGCGCGAGUUAAAUCUCUCUAAGGAACUCGGCAAAUUGGCCCCGUAUCUUCGGUAUAAGGGGUGCCCCUCUAGGGGGGUCGCAGUUAAUAGCGUCAACCGACUGUUUAGCAAAAACACAGCUCUCUGCAAAGUCGCAAGACGACGUAUAGGGAGUGACACGUGACCAAUGCGAAAAGGUGAAAACCUGGGGUGCAAGCUCCGGGUCUAAGCCCUCGUGAAUGUCGGCCGUAACUAUAACGGUCCUAAGGUAGCGAAAUUCCUUGUCGGGU
rnacentral:rRNA from 1 species